GCUUUUGUGUGGAUUAUGCGUAUUUAUUUAUGUGCAAUGUUAGGUUAAAUUUUUUUGUGACAGUGUGUGGUAAAUAGGUUUUGUUAUGAUAUAUAUGAUGACAGGGAUUAGAUACCCCAUUAAUGUAUUUUGUAAAGUUGUUCUAGUUUUGUAACUAAAAUGGUUUGGCAGUGAGCGAUUCUUAUUAGGGGAAUAUGCAUAGUGAAGGAUGGUCCACCUAUUAGUUUACUCUUUUUAUGUUGGUGUAUGUCUGGGUUUA
rnacentral:rRNA from 1 species